CCUACGGGCGACAGCAGUGAGGAAUAUUGGUCAAUGGCCGGAAGUCUGAACCAGCCAUGCCGCGUGCAGGAUGACGGCUCUAUGAGUUGUAAACUGCUUUUGUACGAGGGUAAACCCCGAUACGUGUAUCGUGUUGAAAGUAUCGUACGAAUAAGGAUCGGCUAACUCCGUGCCAGCAGCCGCGGUAAUACGGAGGAUCCGAGCGUUAUCCGGAUUUAUUGGGUUUAAAGGGUGCGUAGGCGGUUUGAUAAGUUAGAGGUGAAAUGUCGGGGCUCAACCCCGAAACUGCCUCUAAUACUGUUGGACUAGAGAAUAGUUGCGGUAGGCGGAAUGUAUGGUGUAGCGGUGAAAUGCUUAGAGAUCAUACAGAACACCGAUUGCGAAGGCAGCUUACCAAACUAUAUCUGACGUUGAGGCACGAAAGCGUGGGUAGCAAACAGGAUUAGAUACCCCAGUAGUC
rnacentral:rRNA from 1 species